rnacentral:RNase_P_RNA from 1 species
CAGGCAGAACGGCUUGUCGCUCGUGUGAAACAGAACGGGAGGAAAGUCCGGGCAACAAAGAGCGCCAUGCUUCCUAACGGGAAGGGUUCGUCAUCCGGCGAAUACAGACAGUGCCACAGAAAACAAACCGCCUUGUAGCUUUUGCUGCGGGGUAAGGGUGAAAAGGCGGGGUAAGAGCCCACCGCUUUUCCGGCGACGGAAUUGGCAGGGUAAACCUCAUGGGUUGAAAGACCAAAUAGGCCUUACCGGUGGAAACACCGCGGAGCUGCUCGUUCCGAUGUAAGGUGGGUAGGUUGAUGGAGGCUUUCGGCAACGGAGGUCCCAGAUAAAUGACAGGCUAUCGCGGAACGUGUUCCAAGAGAAACAGAACCCGGCUUAUGAUUCUGCUUUUUUU